rnacentral:tRNA from 1 species
GGAGAGGCCAACCGACGGCUGGCGACGGUACCCGGUUGGAGGCCGGGCGAGGCAGCGAUGCCCUUGUGAGUUCGAUCCUCACCCUCUCCG